CACCGGAUGUAUUAUUACUGGCUCUCUGCAGGGUAAAAAAAAAAGGUUAAGGAGUUGAUUUCUUUGUUUUAUAGAUUGAGCAGAUUAUUUCAUCAUCAUUCUUGACUUGCAUCUCUGAGAGAGAACAUCUGUCUGAAGUCUGGACGCCUUAAAGUAGGAAGAAUGGACAUGCGCGUGACACUUGUGCUGGUGGUCUUUGUUGCCAUUACAAUGGGAAAACGUUUGAGGAGCCGUUUUGAUUUCAAAGAGGAUGAUGAGCUACCACAGGAUGACAAUAUCGAGACCAUGAAUGACCCUGGUUGUUUACGUUGUCCAACUAUUCUUGGACCUUCAAGUCACACUUGCUGCCCGCCAAAGAGAUGGUAAUUAUCCUAUAAGAAA